rnacentral:rRNA from 1 species
GUAGGUGGCAAGCGUUGUCCGGAAUUAUUGGGCGUAAAGCGCGCGCAGGCGGUUCUUUAAGUCUGAUGUGAAAGCCCACGGCUCAACCGUGGAGGGUCAUUGGAAACUGGAGAACUUGAGUACAGAAGAGGAAAGCGGAAUUCCACGUGUAGCGGUGAAAUGCGUAGUGAUGUGGAGGAACACCAGUGGCGAAGGCGGCUUUCUGGUCUGUAACUGACGCUGAGGCGCGAAAGCGUGGGGAGCAAACAGGAUUAGAUACCCUGGUAGUCCACGCCGUAAACGAUGAGUGCUAAGUGUUAGGGGGUUUCCGCCCCCCUUAGUGCUGCAGCUAACGCAUUAAGCACUCCGCCUGGGAGUACGGCCGCAAGGCUG